CCACUGGACUAAAUACAAUUUUUGUAUCACUAUAUUUUAACCGUGAAAAUCACAUUUGGCUGAGAAUAAUCUCUUCUUGCCUAUUUCUACCAGUUUGUCUUCUAGCAGGACAAGGAAAAGUGAAAAGAGACAAAAGCUCCAGAAUCUUUGGACCAUGAGGCCCAGAGAGAAGAGCUUAAUACAGCCUCCCAAACAGUUGGAGUGAAAGGAAUCCUGUGAAGGACACAAGUGAAGAAGCCCGUGAUAACCUGCUGAAUAAAGAGAGAUCUGUGGUCCAGUCACCCCUACUGCUUCCGCCAAUAGCCUAAGAAAUGCUGGAUAAGUGAGUGAGGCUAUCCUUGGUCAUCUCUGCUAGCUGACUGGCAAGCUGACUACAACAGCAUAAAAGAACCCAAUGGAAUUGGAGAGCUAAUGACCCAUAAAACUCAGAGUUGAUAUUUUAAAGUGCUUUAUAGUUUUCUUUUUAUAUAUGCACCACUAUAGUGUCCAUUUUCAAAUUAUUCAUCUGUUGAUUCCUAGGGAAAAUUAAUAGUCUAUAACAUAAAGUUCCUUUAAAACUUGGAUAUGAAGUCUUUGUAGUGUUACCUUUUUUUAGCAGUGG
rnacentral:lncRNA from 1 species